rfam:Gossypium arboreum cultivar AKA8401 contig_17814_1, whole genome shotgun sequence.
AAACCAUGCAUUGGGAAUUUUCUAAUUAAUUCCUUGAAUCGCUACCAUGCUUCAUAUAAUGUUUCAUCCUAAAAUUGUCAAAAGGACAUAAUAUCAUUCCUCAAUUU